CACAAAUGCCAUAGACACAGGAGAAACAAGAAUUCACUGCUUAUCAGACAAUGGAGAACACGGAGAGGAGAACCUUGACCUUAAAUGCUUUCUAUUAAGGGUUAGCUCAGCUUGCAUUUCUUCUUGAGGAGCAGGAGUGAUAAGGUCUCCCCUAUUCUGCCAUUCGUCUUCAAGAAACUUGUAAGAAUGUCACAUAAAUGUGUAAUUCUCUUUGAGAACCAAUCAUCACUGCCUCAUCCAAGUGAAAGGCUCAACUGUUUCAAAAGAUUGUGAGGAAACAGUGAAAUCCAUGUACCCACAGUAUGGCAUCAACCUUUGUUUCUUCAGGCUAGAAAAUUAGGCAGUUCUAGGGCUGAACUAAGACUGACACGAACAUUCAAUACAGCCUCCUGCAGGGACUUUCUGCAAAGAAAUACCAGUGUUAUCUUGGCAGAACAAGCUGCCAGCGUGGCAGUUUUCUUCCUGGCUUCUGAGACAAGUUCCUACAUCUACCUUGCACUCCCAGCCUUCCACUAGCAUAACAAGAGCAGCUGUAGUCGUGUUGCAAAGCUUAAAAUAGGGUCAUUUUCACUUCUUAGAAAACUCUGAAGAAGUUUGCUACCUAAAACACUACAUCCCAUUAUAGUGAAUCAGAUCCUGGACAUGGAAGUGCUGUUAGUAAAUGUAUGUGCCACACCAGAGUAAGAAGAAAGAGGACAAUUUUAGAAGGGAUACAGCUGGAAUAGCAUAUAUAAUUACCACAUUCUCCUUUUUACUCUCCCCACACAUUCCAGAGGGGGGAAUCAUCGUCAAAAUCCCGUUUCCACCUGCACCCUGAGACUCUUCAUUUCACAGGUGGAAACACUCUGUAACAGAUCACCUAAGGACCUCUUUGUAACAUGGUGUGUCUGUGUGCAUGGGAUGUGUUACAGAAAGACAGAAAUCUGGAUUCGGAGAAGCUGCAAUUGUUCAGAGAAGCCUGGUACGCUAACCAGCCUACAAACAGAGAAUGUUAUUUCAGUGUUGCUUCUGCCCCACUGACUAAUUCUUAAAACAAGCAUACUUUAUGAAAUUGAGAAUUCAGAUGUGUAAGUGGGUAAAAAGUGGAUCAUUAUGAAAUCAUGAAAAUAAAUACUGCUUUAAAUGAAAACUUUGUCUCUGC
rnacentral:lncRNA from 1 species